rnacentral:misc_RNA from 1 species
AUAAACCUCACAAAUUCGUUUGUGGAGAGUGAGUGUCACGCUUACCCGUGUCACUUGAAAAGCAUGGCCAGAGACCACGCAAACGUGCGCCUCCAAUCCAGUGUAGUAGUCACACUCUGUGUGAAUCUCACUGAGCUUGGCAGGCUGCCGUGUGGCUCUGCUGGCUUACUUAACUUCUCAAC